rnacentral:rRNA from 1 species
UACGUAGGGUGCGAGCGUUGUCCGGAAUUACUGGGCGUAAAGAGCUCGUAGGUGGUUUGUCGCGUUGUUCGUGAAAACUCACAGCUUAACUGUGGGCGUGCGGGCGAUACGGGCAGACUGGAGUACUGCAGGGGAGACUGGAAUUCCUGGUGUAGCGGUGGAAUGCGCAGAUAUCAGGAGGAACACCGGUGGCGAAGGCGGAUCUCUGGACAGUUCCUGACGCUGAGGCACGAAGGCCAGGGGAGCAAACGGG